rnacentral:rRNA from 1 species
UACGGAGGGUGCAAGCGUUACUCGGAAUCACUGGGCGUAAAGCGCGCGCAGGCGGCUUUGUAAGUUGGAUGUGAAAUCCUAUGGCUCAACCAUAGAACCGCAUCCAAAACUACUUAGCUAGAGUCUGGGAGGGGAAGAUGGAAUUAGUGGUGUAGGGGUAAAAUCCGUAGAGAUCACUAGGAAUACCAAAAGCGAAGGCGAUCUUCUGGAACAGUACUGACGCUGAGGCGCGAAAGCGUGGGGAGCAAACAGGAUUAGAUACCCUGGUAGUCCACGCCCUAAACGAUGAAUGUUAGUCGUCGGGUAGCUAGUCUAUUCGGUGAUGCAGUUAACACAUUAAACAUUCCGCCUGGGGAGUACGGUCGCAAGAUUAAAACUCAAAGGAAUAGACGGGGACCCGCACAAGUGGUGGAGCAUGUGGUUUAAUUCGAAGAUACGCGAAGAACCUUACCUGGCCUUGACAUUGAUGGAAUCUGCUAGAGAUAGCGGAGUGCCUUUCGGGGAGCUUGAAAACAGGUGCUGCACGGCUGUCGUCAGCUCGUGUCGUGAGAUGUUGGGUUAAGUCCCGCAACGAGCGCAACCCUCGUUCUUAGUUACUAACGGUUCGGCCGAGGACUCUAAGAAGACUGCCUUCGCAAGGAGGAGGAAGGUGAGGACGACGUCAAGUCAUCAUGGCCCUUACGGCCAGGGCAACACACGUGCUACAAUGGGUAGGACAAUGAGACGCGAUACCGCGAGGUGGAGCAAAUCUAUAAACCUAUUCUCAGUUCGGAUUGUAGUCUGCAACUCGACUACAUGAAGCUGGAAUCACUAGUAAUCGUAGAUCAGCUAUGCUACGGUGAAUACGUUCCCGGGUCU